CUCAUUGCAGCAGCUGUUGAAGGACUGUGGUGGCUAUCACGUAAUACCUGAAUGGAUCAGUGGUCAAAAACAGCACAUGGACAAGUCACUUGUUUUUCUGUAACUUACAGAUAGAUUGUCCUACUCAUUGGAAAGCAUAAUAACAAUAAAAUGAACCAGACUAGUUUUCCAAUAAAGCAGCAAUCUUCAAUCAGUAGCAACUUUGAAGCUGUGAAAAAGAAGAAAAGUAACUGUGGAUGUCUGGCACAAGGACUGUGGAAACAAUUUUUAAUGCCAGCAUUCCACUCAAAAAUGAAGAUUCUUGGCAGUGGAUUAACAAAUUCAUUGAGGAUUCUGGUAACACCUCAAUAUGUGGAAACGAUAAAGGGGACUAUAGUGCCAUCAACACAACAAUGGUAUAAUCGAGCAGCUAGCAGCAAACAAUGUCAUCAUAUUAAACAAAAAGACCACUAACAGGAGAGGUCAUUGUGUUUUCACUGUUGUUGAGAACUGCUGAAGCGUGGAACAAGCAGAAAUGUUUUGUUGCAAGUAUACAGGUUUUUGAGACAGCAAACUCAACACAAUGAGCUCAUGCAAUUUUGAGGGACUUUUCAGAAAUACAGUAUAUGGUGGGAUAAUGUGAAAGCGGUAGCGAGUGACAGUAACAUGAACACAUGUGUUGAGUCUUUGGAAACAAUCAUAGAUGAUCAUUUAAACCACAGAUGGGCAACCAGCGGCCUGGAUCCAGCCCACGAUUGGUUUCAAAUGGCCCCCAGAAGAAAUUCACAAAGUUACUCCUAAUUAUUUGUCAACUGGUAUUGCCUAUCACAAUGCCCUAUUCUGUUCUUCUAUUCUUUCUCAUGUUAAUGCUAGUGAAUAAUUAUUGUCCAUUGUGGAUCUAUUAGAACACUACAACUGUUGAGAUGGAAGGUAAUUUAUAAUGAAUUAGCUGCAACUAGUUGCUUUUAUAGGCAUUUAUUUUCCCAUGAUGACAUUUCAAGAUAACUGUCAACCAAUCUCCAGAAUUUCUUAUUUAAUUAUGUGUCAUGAACAUUGUUUCUUUGCUAACAGCAAUGCAGAACUUUGCAAUGGAAUUUUUUAAGACAGCUAUUGUAAAACAUUGUAACUAAAGAUAAAAUGUUCACUAUGCACAAAUAAAUGCAAGCAUCUGAAUAUGGGGUGAAAAUGAAACAAAUGUACCCUGAAAAACGCAUGUUUUGAUGCAUGGUUUGUUGGUGUGCUGUGGCAGGAGAGAGGUGCCAUUCAUACUGGCGUGUUCCCCUAGAAACAUUAAU